CUCAGGAUGAACGCUAGCUACAGGCUUAACACAUGCAAGUCGAGGGGCAGCGCAGUGUAGCAAUACAUGGGCGGCGACCGGCGCACGGGUGCGUAACGCGUAUCCAACCUUCCCGUUACUCUUGGAUAGCCUUCCGAAAGGGAGAUUAAUACCUGAUGGUGUUCAAAUUCCGCAUGUUAUUUGAACUAAAGAUUUAUCGGUAACGGAUGGGGAUGCGUGACAUUAGGUAGAUGGCGGGGUAACGGCCCACCAUGCCUACGAUGUCUAGGGGUUCUGAGAGGAAGGUCCCCCACACUGGUACUGAGACACGGACCAGACUCCUACGGGAGGCAGCAGUGAGGAAUAUUGGUCAAUGGGCGGGAGCCUGAACCAGCCAAGUCGCGUGAGGGAAGACGGUCCUAUGGAUUGUAAACCUCUUUUGUCGGGGAGCAAAGAAGUCACGUGUGACUAAAAGCGAGAGUACCCGAAGAAAAAGCAUCGGCUAACUCCGUG
rnacentral:rRNA from 1 species